CAAUAGCGUAUAUUAAAGUUGUUGCGGUUAAAAAGCUCGUAGUUGGAGUUCUGCCAGGUGCCGCCUGUCCGCCCCAGUGGUGAGUACGUGGCGCGCAUUUGGCCCUUUCAAGGGGAGCGUAUCUGCACUUUAUUGUGUGGUGCGGGAUCCUUGACUUUUACUUUGAGGAAAUAGGAGUGUUCCAAGCAGGCUCUCGUCGUGCACAGCUCAGCAUGGAAUAAUAGCAUUGGACCUCGAUUCUAAGCUGUUGGUUGCCAGAAGCGAGGUAAUGAUGAAGAGGGAUAGUUGGGGGCAUCUGUAUCAACGCGUCAGAGGUGGAAUUCUUGGAUUGCGUUGCGACAAACUACUGCGAAAGCAUUUGCCAAGGAUGUUUUCAUUGA
rnacentral:rRNA from 1 species